rnacentral:lncRNA from 1 species
AGGGGACAAUCCAAAACAAAAAAAAAAAGAAAGAAAAUGGGAAAGGGGGAAUGAAUCACUAACUACUUUGGAAGCUUCGCAUUUCCUCUUCUCCAACUAACUCUGAAUCACUAAAUGCUUCCUUCUUCUCCGAUUUGCUCUCUGGGCCAACUUUCUCUUGGGACGUGACACCUUUGAUCUUCUUCCAAAGCGGCCCAUGGAACUCGCAAAUGCUUUGUCAUAGCACCUCUUCUUCUCUCUACUUUGAAGAACCCUAGGUCUAAUGUUAAGAAAAUUGGAGAAAGUCUUCCAAAUGGUCGCGCUCUAGCUCUUUUUCACAAAUGAAAUGUGCCCAAUAGCUCUGCCCCUUCUCGCAGCCUGAAACGCUGCAUUCCAUUAAUCAUCAAAAACUCACAGCUUCAAAACGCGUGUUUCGCUAAUUGGCUAGGACGGUUUAAACCCAAUUUAGUGAAAUGGUUCACUCCAUUUGAUUCAGCCCAUUUGAAGUUUCAUAGGC